rnacentral:rRNA from 1 species
GGCUCAGAUUGAACGCUGCGGGCAUGGCUAAAACAUGCAAGUCGAACGCGAAAGCGGGGGCAACUCCGCGAGUAGAGUGGCGAAAGGGCGAGUAAUGCGUUUCUAACGUACCCCGGACUCAGGGAUAGCUCGGCGAAAGCCGGAUUAAUACCUGAUGAUGCUGGCGGGCCGUAUGGUCUGCCAGCCAAAGGCUUGCUGGUCUGGGAGCGGGGAACGUCCUAUCAGCUAGUUGGUGAGGUAACGGCUCACCAAGGCUAAGACGGGUAGCGGGUGUGAGAGCACGGCCCGCCGCAUCGGGACUGAGACACUGCCUGGACUCCUACGGGAGGCUGCAGUAACGAAUAUUCCGCAAUGGACGCAAGUCUGACGGAGCGAUGCCGCGUGCAGGACGAAGCCCUUCGGGGUGUAAACUGCUGUCAGGGGUAAGCAACCCAAUGAGCUACCCCAAAGGAAGAGGCGACUAACUCUGUGCCAGCAGUCGCGGUAAUACAGAGGCCUCGAGCGUUAAUCGGAAUCACUGGGCUUAAAGGGUGCGUAGGCGGGUCCGUAAGUGCCUUGUGAAAUCCCCUGGCUUAACCAGGGAACGGCUGGGCAUACUGCGGGCCUUGAGGUCGGUAGGGGUCGCUGGAACGGUUGGUGGAGCGGUGAAAUGCGUAGAUAUCAACCGGAACGCCAAAGGUGAAGACAGGCGACUGGGCCGACUCUGACGCUGAGGCACGAAAGCGUGGGGAGCAAACGGGAUUAGAUACCCCGGUAGUCCACGCCCUAAACUAUGCGCACUGGAUCCUGGAGGCUCUGACGCCAUCAGGGUCGCAGCCAAAGUGCUAAGUGCGCCGCCUGGGGAGUA